UUUUCGGACAAGUGAAGUAAACGGAAAGCGGCGGACGGGUGAGUAACGCGUAGGCAACCUGCCCCAUACAGAGGGAUAGCCUCGAGAAAUCGGGAUUAAAACCUCAUAAUGCCAUCGAGUCACAUGGCUCUUUGGCCAAAGAUUUAUCGGUAUGGGAUGGGCCUGCGUCUGAUUAGCUAGUUGGUGAGGUAACGGCUCACCAAGGUUGCGAUCAGUAGCAGAACUGAGAGGUUCAUCUGCCACAUUGGAACUGAGACACGGUCCAAACUCCUACGGGAGGCAGCAGUGAGGAAUAUUGCACAAUGGGCGAAAGCCUGAUGCAGCAACGCCGCGUGAGCGAUGAAGGCCUUUGGGUCGUAAAGCUCUGUCCUUGGGGAAGAAACAAAUGACGGUACCCUUGGAGGAAGCCCCGGCUAACUACGUGCCAGCAGCCGCGGUAAUACGUAGGGGGCGAGCGUUAUCCGGAAUUAUUGGGCGUAAAGAGUGCGUAGGUGGUCUUGUAAGCGUGGGGUGAAAGGCAGUGGCUUAACCAUUGUUAGCCUUGCGAACUGUGAGACUUGAGUGCAGGAGAGGAAAGUGGAAUUCCUAGUGUAGCGGUGAAAUGCGUAGAUAUUAGGAGGAACACCAGUGGCGAAGGCGACUUUCUGGACUGUAACUGACACUGAGGCACGAAAGCGUGGGGAGCAAACAGGAUUAGAUACCCUGGUAGU
rnacentral:rRNA from 1 species